rnacentral:rRNA from 1 species
AAAUUGAAGAGUUUGAUCAUGGCUCAGAUUGAACGCUGGCGGCAGGCCUAACACAUGCAAGUCGAACGGUAACAGGAAGCAGCUUGCUGCUUUGCUGACGAGUGGCGGACGGGUGAGUAAUGUCUGGGAAACUGCCUGAUGGAGGGGGAUAACUACUGGAAACGGUGGCUAAUACCGCAUAACGUCGCAAGACCAAAGAGGGGGACCUUCGGGCCUCUUGCCAUCAGAUGUGCCCAGAUGGGAUUAGCUAGUUGGUGAGGUAACGGCUCACCAAGGCGACGAUCCCUAGC